AGGAUUUAAACAAUGUGAGAAUUUAUCUUUUCAAUUUAGCCCUAAUACAUUUGAUUAUCUCAUUCCCAUUGCUUGUUAGGUUAUUAGUUAAACAUAUAUAUCAUCCAUUAAUAGUUCAAGCUGAAUAGAUGCUCAUUACGAUUCAUGUUUUUGCAGAUGAAAAAGAGGAUGAUGGAGGAAAAUGGUGCAAAUAAAUAACUACUUGAAAAAGAGGCUGGAAUUGCUUCAGAAGGAGAACAUGAAUCUGUUGGAAAAGGGUUGAAACACUGAAGCAAGAACUCGAAUGGGAUAAGCUUAAAUGCAACUAAACAAAUCGUUCGAUAAAGGCUUGUACACAAAAUUCGAUGUAGAUAUCAUAGACGAGGAAUAGAAGAAGAAGAAGAAUAUCUGUCUAUUCUCCACUGCAAGAAGUUAAGGCGUUUGUUUGAUGAGGGAAUGAUAUCAAAGAUUAGUGGCUGCCAGAACAAACAAUUCAUCAACUCUCUCACCGAAUUGACUAUUUUCUAUUGUCCGGAGUUGAUGAUAUCAGUUGAGGAAUUUGUUGGAAACCUCAAUAUUAAUAAUAAUU